rnacentral:miRNA from 1 species
AGAGGAAGUCUACUAUGUAAC